rnacentral:lncRNA from 1 species
AACUGUACGUGGACGUAAAAACACCCACCAAGAAGCGACGUAAGCGUUUCACCCAUAAUUUAGUAAAAUUACAUAUAUAUAUAUAUAUAUAACUCCAUGUCUAACCAUUUCAUGUUCAAUUAAUUCUCAUCAUUUUUCAAUACGAAUAAACACACACAUAGCAUUAAGAAGUCAAUUCACUGGUUAGAUUCCAUUCUUUAAUAUAUAUUGCUCAUAAUCGAUUUUAACCCAAACAUACACUUUUUUACAACUUAAACAACAUGCAAUCCAUUAUCAUAUUCGUUUAACAUCACCUGUCAUGGUAGCUUACCAUUUGAUCCAUUUUACUGGAGUCAAUUGACUCAUUUACAAUCAUCUGGCCUCCAAGACUCAUUUUCAAUUGAUUUGCUUAAUAGCUUACAUGAUCUUUCUAUUAUAACCCACAAGGGAACACAAUUGAGACUAUAUCAUCAAUGAUUUCAUUUUUAAAUAUCAUUAAUCAAGUUUACCAAUUAUAACCCCAUUAACAUGGCUCGGACGAAUACACAGAUCGUCCAACCAACACACCAAAUUGACACUGAAGUGCAUCAUCAGAUAAAUUGGCACGUAAAGUGUAUACUGGCGCUCGAAGUGCAUCACUGGCACACAUAGCACAUACUAGCACAAGGUGCAUCCUAGCACACAAAGCACAUUCUGGCGCACGAAGUGCAUCCUAUGUGCAUCUUGGCG